rnacentral:rRNA from 1 species
AACGAACGCUGGCGGCAUGCCUAACACAUGCAAGUCGAACGAGACCUUCGGGUCUAGUGGCGCACGGGUGCGUAACGCGUGGGAACCUGCCCUUAGGUUCGGAAUAACUCCCCGAAAGGGGUGCUAAUACCGGAUAAUGUCUUCGGACCAAAGAUUUAUCGCCUUUGGAUGGGCCCGCGUUGGAUUAGCUUGUUGGUAGGGUAAAAGCCUACCAAGGCGACGAUCCAUAGCUGGUCUGAGAGGAUGAUCAGCCACACUGGGCCUGAGACACGGCCCAGACUCCUACGGGAUGCAGCAGUGGGGAAUAUUGGACAAUGGGCGAAAGCCUGAUCCAGCAAUGCCGGGUGAGUGAUGAAGGCCUUAGGGUUGUAAAGCUCUUUUACCCGGGAUGAUAAUGACAGUACCGGGAGAAUAAGCUCCGGCUAACUCCGUG